rnacentral:lncRNA from 1 species
AUGGGUCUUAGGGAUGCUUUCAAGAAGAAAGGAAAUUGUUAUCUACGCAAAAUGCAAAGUGAAGGUACUUCAAUGAGGACAAUGUCUAUCCCAUUAUUGUGGCUAUCGAUUUCCUGCAUUUUUUUCCUUCACAUACCCACUAUUGGUGACAUUGUGCCGUGUGUGGCUGGAACAACCCCAGCCCACCUGGGAUGUCCCCAAAAAGCUUUAAUAUUACCUUUACAGUUAAGUGUGCAGUAAAUAUAGAAGACAGGUGAAAUGCCAUUUCUUUUGUUUGAGGUUUGCUUUGAAACUUUCAUACUGGUUUAUAGCAUCUUGUGAAUUUGGCUAGGCAUAGGCUUGAUUAAUGGGUAUAUUAUUCAGAUGGGCACCCACCAUCAACAGUGAAGACAUAACUUUUAUCUUCCCAUAAGGCUUUAGGGAUGAUAGUUUUAAAUAGUAAUAAAAAUUGCUGUAGCUCAUCA